CGAUUAUGUACUUUUGUCCUUUUUGACAACAGGAUUGCGUAUGUAUUUCGACGGUUUAAAGAAUACUUAAAAAAAGUAAAAUCAACACGACUGCGUACGAAUCCGAAUUCGUACAAAUUAUUUCUGUUUCACUCGUGUGGUACAUACCGGUAUGAAAAUUGGCAACAGCGCUUAAAAUUUCGUACGCAAUCGUGUAGCUUAAAAAGGUAUUACCGAUAGCGAACAUACGCAAUCGUGUAUUUCUCUUUUUAAUAACCGAAAAAGUGUUUGACUGUUGACAAUUUUCGGAAACACUUCAAUUAAAAUGCCAUCGCACCUGGUGGAUAUUCCGCGUUUUCCGAGGUGUACUGCGUGAACAAAUCGGAAAACUUGUUGAGAAUUUCAAAUACAUUUUCAAAUAAACUGCCGUCGGGUGGAAUGCAUAACACACUUAACAUAAUAAUAUGCUAAUACUAUUAUUAUAUUGAAGUAAUGUACUCCUUAUGAACUGCACACCACUACAUUAGUAACUAUAUGUACUAUAUGUACUAGGUGCUGCACAUAGUUUUAAGUUCCGUGACAUGCGACAAAAUAUCUCUUAAGGCA